AGAAAGGAAAUUUAUGAAAACAAAGGAGGAAAAAAAAAGAAUAGAGGAAAGGUUGGGAGAAAGAAAAAUAAUGAAUCUUCUAGAUUUUUUGGCUAUGACUAAAUCAAGAUAGUACUUAUCUCUUUCAUUCUUUCCACCGCACACAUUUUGCAAAAUGAAAACAAAGAAGGAAUCGUUCUCUCCCUCACACACACAUAGCAUCUUCAUCCAGUCUACUCUCUCCAUCAUGUGAGCCUUUAGCUGUGAUUACCUCUCCGGUGUGACGUCCCUGCUCCGCUGGCCUCCUCUUUCCCAGGUGACCAUCUCAAUCUCCCUUCUCAACUCAUCUCCAUGGAAGUAGGAUUUAAAGCUUAAAGUUCAACACCCAAAUUCACUACUUAUGAAAUUAAGAUUAAAGGGUCAGACUAGCUCUUUUGUUGUUCAGCUGUUCAAGUCAGGUCACUAGCCAACUCUUUUGCAUUUGGGUGAUUCUUUUGAAUUAGUUAGAGGUGGCAUGUAUAGAAAGUGUAACGUUUCUUUUACUUCCAAAACUUUUGUUAAAUAAGUAUAUUUUGUAAAUAGUUAUGAGUUAUCCAUGUUAUAAAUAUAUACACAAGACUUUUGGGAAUAAGCUUACGGUCUAGUUCUAGACUGACAUUAUAUAACAGUUUUCUAGUUUGCCAAGUAAAGGCAAAUAAGAUAUUUGUAUGUGCAAAAAGGGGAUCUUCUAUUAAAUCAAGAUUUGUACCAAAAUGUGACAUUAUUUAUUCGAUUAUUAAAAUAAUCGGAUAAAGGGUGUUACAAGUUUGGUAUCAGAGCCUAGGUUUAGGCGUUCCUAGGCUUUUGGUUUGGUUAAAGUUAGUUUAGAACAUGCCACAUAGGAUGUUAAGUCGUUUUUUAUAUCAGUUACCCUAUGUCGCUACUAAUACAGAUAUAUGAGUUUUUCAAAUGGGAAUUUGACAUAUUAUUUAGUCUAAAGGUUGCCAAAGUACGGGAUAGGAAUUCCCGUGUGAUUGAGAAAGUGGUUAUAUGGGACUGGCCAUCCGAUCGGUAGCAUCAUCUUGAGUGAAAGAUUAAAAUGCUUGUAGGAUGAUGAGAUUAGAAAUGGUCAAAAGAGAUUAUUUUGUUGUGAUUUAUAAAUGUGUUGGUUUAUGGAUAAGAAUGUGAUAAUGUCUGUGAUUUGUAUACAUUGUGCGUUCAAAUAAAAUGUUGUGUGUUAUAUGGUA